ensembl:snoRNA SNORA74 Small nucleolar RNA SNORA74
UCACAUCUCUAGACUAUGGUCGAGGUAACACAAUGCCUGGGAUGGCGUGUUACACUGUUGGAAGAGCAAGCACCGCCUAGUGAGGUGUGGCUCCACACAUUUUCAGUGUUGCGGGCACGUACCUUUGGGCAGCAUUCUGCACCUCUGAGAGUGGAGUGACUUCUCACGUGGAGUUCAUCUUUUCUGGAUGCAAACAUU